rnacentral:rRNA from 1 species
GAUGAACGCUGGCGGCGUGCCUAAUACAUGCAAGUCGAGCGAACAGAUGAGGAGCUUGCUCCUCUGACGUUAGCGGCGGACGGGUGAGUAACACGUGGAUAACCUACCUAUAAGACUGGGAUAACUUCGGGAAACCGGAGCUAAUACCGGAUAAUAUAUUGAACCGCAUGGUUCAAUAGUGAAAGACGGUUUUGCUGUCACUUAUAGAUGGAUCCGCGCCGCAUUAGCUAGUUGGUAAGGUAACGGCUUACCAAGGCAACGAUGCGUAGCCGACCUGAGAGGGAGAUCGGCCACACGGGAACUGAGACACGGUCCAGACUCCUACGGGAGGCAGCAGUAGGGAAUCUUACGCAAUGGGCGAAAGCCUGACGGAGCAACGCCGCGUGAGUGAUGAAGGUCUUCGGAUGGGAAAACUCUGUUAUUAGGGAAGAACAAAUGUGUUAGUAACGAUGCACGUCUUGACGGUACCUAAUGAGAAAGCCACGGCUAACUACGUG